GCUACGGGGAGCAGCAGUGGGGAAUAUUGGGCAAUGGAGGAAACUCUGACCCAGCAACGCCGCGUGAAGGAUGAAGGUUUUCGGAUUGUAAACUUCUGUCGCGAGGGACGAAGAAUGACGGUACCUCGUAAGAAAGCCCCGGCUAACUACGUGCCAGCAGCCGCGGUAAUACGUAGGAUGCGAGCGUUAUCCGGAUUUAUUGGGUUUAAAGGGUGCGUAGGCGGGCAUUUAAGCCGGCGGUCAAAUGUCGGGGCUCAACCCCGGCCUGCCGUCGGAACUGGGUGCCUUGAGUGGGCGAGAAGGAUGCGGAAUGCGUGGUGUAGCGGUGAAAUGCAUAGAUAUCACGCAGAACCCCGAUUGCGAAGGCAGCAUACCGGCGCCCUACUGACGCUGAGGCACGAAAGUGCGGGUAUCGAACAGGAUUAGAUACCCCAGUAGUC
rnacentral:rRNA from 1 species